GAUGAACGCUGGCGGCGUGCCUAAUACAUGCAAGUCGAGCGAAUGGAUUAAGAGCUUGCUCUUAUGAAGUUAGCGGCGGACGGGUGAGUAACACGUGGGUAACCUGCCCAUAAGACUGGGAUAACUCCGGGAAACCGGGGCUAAUACCGGAUAACAUUUUGAACCGCAUGGCUCGAAAUUGAAAGGCGGCUUCGGCUGUCACUUAUGGAUGGACCCGCGUCCCAUUAGCUAGUUGGUGAGGUAACGGCUCACCAAGGCAACGAUGCGUAGCCGACCUGAGAGGGUGAUCGGCCACACUGGGACUGAGACACGGCCCAGACUCCUACGGGAGGCAGCAGUAGGGAAUCUUCCGCAAUGGACGAAAGUCUGACGGAGCAACGCCGCGUGAGUGAGGAAGGCUUUCGGGUCGUAAAACUCUGUUGUUAGGGAAGAACAAGUGCUAGUUGAAUAAGCUGGCACCUUGACGGUACCUAACCAGAAAGCCACGGCUAACUACGUGCCAGCAGCCGCGGUAA
rnacentral:rRNA from 1 species